UGAAGCUCAACUUUUCUGGAAAAAAAUCAUGCCUUCUGGAUUAUACAGUGGUUUUACAUUUGCUUCUAAAAGCAAAUGAUACAUUUACUUCU